rnacentral:rRNA from 1 species
CCUACGGGAGGCACCAGUGGGGAACAUUGCACAAUGGGCGCAAGCCUGAUGCAGCCAUGCCGCGUGUAUGAAGAAGGCCUUCGGGUUGUAAAGUACUUUCAGCGGGGAGGAAGGUGUUGUGGUUAAUAACCACAGCAAUUGACGUUACCCGCAGAAGAAGCACCGGCUAACUCCGUGCCAGCAGCCGCGGUAAUACGGAGGGUGCAAGCGUUAAUCGGAAUUACUGGGCGUAAAGCGCACGCAGGCGGUCUGUCAAGUCAGAUGUGAAAUCCCCGGGCUCAACCUGGGAACUGCAUUUGAAACUGGCAGGCUAGAGUCUUGUAGAGGGGGGUAGGAUUCCAGGUGUAGCGGUGAAAUGCGUAGAGAUCUGGAGGAAUACCGGUGGCGAAGGCGGCCCCCUGGACAAAGACUGACGCUCAGGUGCGAAAGCGUGGGGAGCAAACAGGAUUAGAUACCCCUGUAGUC